AACCUUUACACUGUACGAAAGUGCGAUAAGGGAAUCCUGAGUGCCUAUACAUUGUAUAGGCUUUUGUUAAGAGUAAAUACCUUAGCGAAUAAGUGGUGGGAAAGACUGGUGCCAGCAGCCGCGGUAACACCAGCGCCACAAGUCGUGAUCACGUUUAUUGGGCCUAAAGCGUCCGUAGCAGGUCUGGAAAAUCCUUUGUGAAAUCGUUGCGCUUAACGUAACGGCGUGCAAGGGACACUCCCAGACUAGGGACCGGAAGGAGUCAGAAGUAUUCUUGGGGGAGCGGUAAAAUGUUAUAAUCCCAAGAGGACUACCUGUGGCGAAGGCGUCUGACUAGUACGGAUCCGACUGUGAGGGACGAAAGCUAGGGGAUCAAUCCGG
rnacentral:rRNA from 1 species